CAGUUCUACAAUCAAUUUUAAAAUAUGGAACACUUGGAGAAUUUGUGGGGCAUCAGUGUGCAGGGACCAUGUUAUUUUUCUCUGCAUCCUCCCAAUUUUAGUGUAAGUGCGUGUGAAGCCAGCACGACUCCAGGGAAUCUACGCUGCCUGGGAGUGACUGCAUACCCGUGGGGAACUGGAAUGAGGAAACCUACAGAAAGUGCAGCCUGUAUUUGAAGAAAGUGUGAGACUGACUAAGCUCUAGCUACACGAUCUACCGGAACAUGGGACACAUUUUCACACCUCUGUGACUACUAUGCAUAUGUUGUUUCCUCUGCCUAGAGUGCCCCUGCUUUUCUUGUUGAAGAACUCUUACUCAUACCUCAAGACCCCACUUAAAAGUUGAUGCCUCUUCAAAGCCUUCUUUGAUUCCCCAG